rnacentral:rRNA from 1 species
CUAUAGCCACACAACCCUGAAUGCACUCAAUUUCUUCUGAUCUCAGAAGCUAAGCAAGCUCAGGUCUGGUUAGUACUCAGAUGGGAGAAAUGUCUCAAGCUCAUCCUCCUUUAUGGAAGAGUAAUACUCCAUUGU